AGAGUUUGAUCCUGGCUCAGGACGAACGCUGGCGGCGUGCCUAAUACAUGCAAGUAGAACGCUGAAGAGAGGAGCUUGCUCUUCUUGGAUGAGUUGCGAACGGGUGAGUAACGCGUAGGUAACCUGCCUUGUAGCGGGGGAUAACUAUUGGAAACGAUAGCUAAUACCGCAUAACAAUGGAUGACCCAUGUCAUUUAUUUGAAAGGGGCAAAUGCUCCACUACAAGAUGGACCUGCGUUGUAUUAGCUAGUAGGUGAGGUAACGGCUCACCUAGGCGACGAUACAUAGCCGACCUGAGAGGGUGAUCGGCCACACUGGGACUGAGACACGGCCCAGACUCCUACGGGAGGCAGCAGUAGGGAAUCUUCGGCAAUGGGGGCAACCCUGACCGAGCAACGCCGCGUGAGUGAAGAAGGUUUUCGGAUCGUAAAGCUCUGUUGUAAGUCAAGAACGAGUGUGAGAGUGGAAAGUUCACACUGUGACGGUAGCUUACCAGAAAGGGACGGCUAACUACGUGCCAGCAGCCGCGGUAAUACGUAGGUCCCGAGCGUUGUCCGGAUUUAUUGGGCGUAAAGCGAGCGCAGGCGGUUUGAUAAGUCUGAAGUUAAAGGCUGUGGCUCAACCAUAGUUCGCUUUGGAAACUGUCAAACUUGAGUGCAGAAGGGGAGAGUGGAAUUCCAUGUGUAGCGGUGAAAUGCGUAGAUAUAUGGAGGAACACCGGUGGCGAAAGCGGCUCUCUGGUCUGUAACUGACGCUGAGGCUCGAAAGCGUGGGGAGCGAACAGGAUUAGAUACCCUGGUAGUCCACGCCGUAAACGAUGAGUGCUAGGUGUUGGAUCCUUUCCGGGAUUCAGUGCCGCAGCUAACGCAUUAAGCACUCCGCCUGGGGAGUACGACCGCAAGGUUGAAACUCAAAGGAAUUGACGGGGGCCCGCACAAGCGGUGGAGCAUGUGGUUUAAUUCGAAGCAACGCGAAGAACCUUACCAGGUCUUGACAUCCCGAUGCUAUUUCUAGAGAUAGAAAGUUACUUCGGUACAUCGGUGACAGGUGGUGCAUGGUUGUCGUCAGCUCGUGUCGUGAGAUGUUGGGUUAAGUCCCGCAACGAGCGCAACCCCUAUUGUUAGUUGCCAUCAUUCAGUUGGGCACUCUAGCGAGACUGCCGGUAAUAAACCGGAGGAAGGUGGGGAUGACGUCAAAUCAUCAUGCCCCUUAUGACCUGGGCUACACACGUGCUACAAUGGUUGGUACAACGAGUUGCGAGUCGGUGACGGCAAGCUAAUCUCUUAAAGCCAAUCUCAGUUCGGAUUGUAGGCUGCAACUCGCCUACAUGAAGUCGGAAUCGCUAGUAAUCGCGGAUCAGCACGCCGCGGUGAAUACGUUCCCGGGCCUUGUACACACCGCCCGUCACACCACGAGAGUUUGUAACACCCGAAGUCGGUGAGGUAACCUUUUGGAGCCAGCCGCCUAAGGUGGGAUAGAUGAUUGGGGUGAAGUCAUAACAAGGUA
rnacentral:rRNA from 1 species